rnacentral:tRNA from 1 species
GUGGGUAUAGCCCAACAGGUAGAGGCAAGUGACUUAAAAUCACUCAAGUGUGGGUUCAAAUCCCACUAUCCAUA